GUUGUAUCUUGUGCAAACCAAAACCCCAGGAAAUAUUGGCGUUCAAGAACAGUCCGUCAAACCUCAGGAAACACAUUAAGAGAAAGCACGAGAGAUACCUGGAGAAGUACACCAAGCUAGCUAUUCAGAAAAGGAAGCAUGAGGAAGAUCCGAAUGACCAAGCAACACCCAAGCAGCUGAAACUGUGGGAUACACCUCGUGUAACACAGAAAGAAUUGACAAAGCAACUACAGAGAUGAAAGAGAAUCUCAAGGCGGCGAUGCAUGAUGUGGAGUUCAUAGGGACCACCACUGACUGCUGGACAGCAAACAGAAAGGGCUUCAUCGGUGUCACAGCCCACCGGAUACAUCCUACAAGUCUGCAGCGGUGCUCUGCUGCACUAGCAUGCAAGCAGCUGAAAGGACCACACAACUUCACUGCACUUGCAGAUGCUCUGACUAAGAUCCAUACAGAGUUCAACAUCAGAGACAAGAUUGUGCGUACAACGACAGAUAGUGGGUCCAGUUUUCUGAAAGCCUUCAGAGUGUACGGUGUCGAUGAU